UUUUUUUGCCUCGACGCCACUGACCAGCAGGAGGCCGCGAGUUCGCCGGCCCGAGGGCGACGGCGACGGCGACGGCGACUCGGUCGAAGAAGGGUGGGGCUGGGUGGGCCCCAGAGCCACGUGGCGAGUGUCUCCGGCAAGCGUGCAUGGGUCAGAUGGAGAGUGAUCGCUGAUCGCCCCCGACAGAAUGGCACUGCAGCCUCAUCUCGGAUAAGGAGGCUAAUUCUGCUGCUCCCUGCUGUUCUCUGCUCGUCCCAUGCUCAAAGCCAUAUUUUAAGCGCAGUUGCUUCGGUCGAAGAAAAGAUCGCCUGUUUAGUAGCUUCAGAGAGCAGAAAGGCAGCUCUGCUUUAGAGUUCUUCACCGAGACAACCCAUUCAGGAAUGGAGGAUAAGUCCCCGGCGAGUCGACCCGCAGUCAUACCUAGUCUGCCGCGCGACUCUCGUGGGUCCCUCGAGGUCUUCAACCCCACCAGUUUCGCCGCUCGGCCCCAAGCCAAGAGCCCGACUCCUGCCUUCGCCACCUGGCAGCCCCGCUCCGACCCGGCGUCUCAUCCCCAAUCGCACCCGGCGUCCGCCGAGGACGACGACAUCAUCCGCCCAUGGUUGGCCCUGCCCACCGGGCCAACGGCGGUGCCGCCGGUGCCGACGCAUCAGCACUACUCCGAGACCGUCUCUGUCACCAAAAAGGAUUCUGCUGCCUCGUCGUCCUCAACCGCCGUCUCCCAGGAUGUCGGCGCGGCAGCUCAGCGGGCGGCGGAGUGGGGCUUGGUGCUGAAGACCGACGAGGAGACGGGGAGGCCUCAGGGAGUCGGGGUGCGAAGGUCGGGCGACGAAGUCGGGAAGGGUGGCCCGCAUAGGGUCUCUGACGGGGAGUCAUUCCGGAACUCGGAGGAUUCGGAUGCGUUGGGGUCAGACUUCGGCGGAGGGAAAGAGAAGGGAGGGAUCCCUAGGGUAUCGGAGGAGCUCCGAGAGGCGCUCUCCGCCUUCCAGCAGACCUUCGUAGUGUCCGACGCUACGAAGCCCGACUAUCCCAUCAUGUACGCGAGCGCCGGAUUCUUCAACAUGACUGGUUACCUCGCCAAAGAAGUCAUUGGCCGAAAUUGUCGCUUCUUGCAAGGUGCUGGAACUGAUCCAUCAGAGAUUGCAAAAAUAAGGGAAACGCUGUCAUUUGGUGCAAAUUAUUGUGGUCGUAUAUUGAAUUACAAGAAGGAUGGUACACCAUUUUGGAAUCUUUUGACUAUUGCUCCCAUCAAAGAUGAGGAAGGGAACACCCUCAAGUUCAUUGGGAUGCAAGUGGAAGUUAGCAAGUACACAGAAGGAUCUAAGGACACAAUGGUACGACCCAAUGGAUUACCAGAGUCCUUGAUUCGUUAUGAUGCUAGGCAAAAAGAUAGAGUUCGCAGUUCAGUUUCUGAUUUAGUAAUGGCCGUAAAGGAUCCAAGCAGACUUUCAGAAUCAAGAAAUUACACUCAUAUGAGGAAAUCUGAAGGUGGUGGACAACCUGUGGCAUCUGAAGUUCCUGAAAGGAGGAAAUCAGAAAAUACAACUUCAGUUAGGCGCAAUUCACGUGGUGAAACAAGAAUCUCAAUGCAAAAAAUUUCAGAACUCCCUGAAGCUACAAAAAAAUCAAGAAAGUCAGGACUAAUGUCCUUCAUGGGACUUAUUGGCUUAGGUCAUGGGAAUAGUGAAAAGCAUGACCAGGCCGAAGCUAUUGUGGAGGAACUAUUGAUGGAAAGUGAUGAUGAAAGGCCAGAGAGUUUUGAUGAUAAGGAAAGAAAAAAGGAGAUGAGACGGGGCAUUGAUCUCGCUACAACCCUAGAACGCAUUGAGAAGAACUUUGUGAUUACUGAUCCACGGCUUCCUGAUAAUCCUAUUAUAUUUGCAUCUGACAGUUUCUUGGAACUGACAGAGUACAGUCGUGAAGAAAUUUUGGGAAGAAAUUGUAGGUUUCUCCAAGGCCCUGAAACCGAUCCAAGUACUGUGAGGAAAAUCAGAGAAGCUAUCGAUAACCAAAGAGAUGUAACUGUGCAGUUGAUAAAUUACACAAAAACUGGCAAAAAGUUCUGGAAUCUUUUUCACUUGCAACCCAUGCGUGAUCAAAAGGGGGAAGUUCAGUAUUUUAUUGGUGUCCAGUUGGAUGGAAGUGAGCAUGUUGAACCACUCCAUAACUGCAUACCAGAAGAGACUGCAAAAAAAAGUGAAAAGCUGGUGAAAGAAACUGCUGAUAAUGUUGAUGAAGCUGUUAGAGAACUCCCAGAUGCUAAUUUGAAACCAGAGGAUCUAUGGGCUAAUCAUUCAAAGUUGGUUCUCCCAAAGCCCCACAUGAAGAGUAAUCAAUCAUGGAGGGCCAUCCAAAAAGUUCUAGGUAGUGGAGAAACGGUAGGAUUGAAACAUUUCAGACCUGUUAAACCUUUGGGCUCAGGUGAUACUGGCAGUGUCCAUAUGGUGGAGUUGGUGGGUACUGGAGAAUACUAUGCUAUGAAGUCUAUGGAUAAAAGUGUCAUGCUGAACCGUAACAAGGUGCAUAGAGCUUGUGCAGAAAGAGAGAUACUUGAUAUGUUGGAUCAUCCUUUCCUUCCUACAUUAUAUGCAUCCUUUCAGACAAAAACACAUAUAUGUUUGAUAACGGAUUACUGCCCUGGUGGAGAGCUUUUUUUACUUCUGGAUAAACAACCUGAGAAGGUCCUCAAGGAAGAUGCUGUUAGGUUCUAUGCUGCUGAAGUAGUUGUAGCACUUGAAUACCUUCACUGUCAAGGUAUCAUAUACCGGGACCUGAAACCAGAGAAUAUCUUGCUUCAGCGAGAUGGCCAUGUUUCUUUGACAGACUUUGAUUUAUCAUGUUUGACACCUUGCAAGCCUCAGCUUUUCCUCCCAAAUGAUGAGGGUAAGAAGAAACAGAGAAAUGGAAAGGCUCCUCCAAUAUUUGUAGCUGAGCCAGUGCGUGCAUCAAAUUCAUUUGUUGGAACUGAAGAAUACAUUGCACCGGAGAUCAUUACUGGAGCUGGUCACACUAGUGCAGUUGAUUGGUGGGCACUUGGAAUUCUUCUUUAUGAGAUGUUAUAUGGUUAUACACCAUUUCGAGGAAAGACUAGGCAGAAGACAUUUGCUAACGUUCUUCACAAGGACCUUAGAUUUCCUGGAAGUAUCUCAGUAAGUCUUCCAGCAAAACAGUUGAUAUAUCGGUUGCUGCAUAGGGAUCCUAGAAACAGAUUAGGCUCGUGCCAUGGAGCUAAUGAAGUCAAGCAACAUCCGUUUUUCAGUGGCAUCAAUUGGGCUCUUGUGCGUUGCAUGAACCCUCCCAAGCUGGCUACUCCUCUAUUUGAUACUAAAAUGGCAGAGGACCCUACGAUGGCAUAUACAGACCUAGAUAAUCUUCAAACGGUGUUUUGAACAAAGAGUACGGUUUGGUCUUGCAUUGUGAUGGCGUCGAGUGUUGGCUUGGUCUAUGUUGGUUUGCUACAUAUCUAGAAAGCUCCAUGAUUUGUGCUAAGAUCAAAAUAUCAGUAGAUUUGUUGUGGUGAUGCCUUCACAGGAUUUGAGGCUUCGUAUAGUGACUGACUCAUUAUAUGGAUGCUGAUCUAAUUCAUUUAUUAUUAGACUAAGCAACUGAUGCUUAACGGAUAAAGUAUGAUUCUAAUGCGUCAUUGAGAUUACAAUAGUUAUAGCCAGACAAUUAACAGAUUGUAGCAGUCUUAGUUUAUCACGUGAAUCUUAAUUUUCAAUAUAAAUAAUGUCUUAGUUCUGGAUACUUAGUCAACAAGUACAUUCAGAGAGAGGGUUUGUCUGAUAAGUUUGGUGCAUCUGAUUUACGGGAAUAAUGUAUUUAUUCUUUAUGAAUUAUUGUAAAAUAAGUAUUUUUUAUAUUUGGUUAUACAAAUACAUUCAGAUCA